rnacentral:rRNA from 1 species
CUCAGUAACGGCGAGUGAAGCGGCAAAAGCUCAACUUUGAACUCCCCCCGGGGACCUGUACUCUGAAAUCUGUGUCUUGGAGACGACCGUGUCUAUGUUCCUUGGAACAGGACGUCACAGAGGGUGAGAAUCCCGUGCGGCACGGCCACCGUCCUCCUAUAAGACACUCUCGACGAGUCGAGUCUGCUGGGAAUGCAGCUCAAAGUGGGUGGUAAACUUCCAUCUAAAGCUAAAUACAGGCGAGAGACCGAUAGCGAACAAGUACAGUGAUGGAAAGAUGAAAAGCACUUUUGAAAAGAGAGUGAAACAGUACGUGAAAUUGUUGAAAGGGAAGGGCAUGCCGUCAGAUUGUCAGUGUGGGUAAGAAGCGGGGUACAAAGACUGCGGAACGUGGCCUUUCGGGUGUUAUAGCCGCCA